CAUUAUUGACAACCGAGAGUAACGAAAAAGCAUCUUAAACCGUCCCUGCCUUCAACAAAGAUAAGACGUCGUACGCGCUGCUCGAAAUUAGUAUUCUAUAGUGAAUAUUGAAAAUGAAAUUUUUGAUCGUGCUAUUAACAAUCGCGAUGAUGACGUUGACCAUCGUGUUCUCGUCAUCACUGGACAAAAAGCAAACCGAGUCGACUGUCGCUAAAGAAUCAGUAACAGUGGAACCGUUCAAUAUUAUAACAAUGCCGCAAUUUCGAUGUCCUUCUGGUCAACAACGUGAUUCAAAAGGAAGGUGUCGAUUAGCAUUAGGAAAUAGUCAGGAAUAAUCGUGAAGAGAAGAUGAUUCAACGAAUAUGUUACUUUAACAAGUGAUGUCAUUUGGAAGUUACAACAACGAUGAGGAAGAAAUGACCAUUGUUAUCUAUCUAUUCAACAGUAAAGAAAGAGGUUUCUCUAUCAAUGGAUUCACAAUAAAUUGACAAUUAUUAUUAAAUGUGA
rnacentral:lncRNA from 1 species